UUCAGAGAGAAAAUAAUCUGCGUCACAACGUUGGUUCAAAGUGAAACUAAACUUUAAAGAGGAAACGCGGGGCGGGAGGAAAGAGUCAGAAACUUAUGGACAGAAACAUUAACAACAUGUUCAGCUGUAGUUUGACUUUGUUAAGAGACACAAACGUUUAGAAACAACAAAACAUUAGAUGGUUUAAUGAAAAAGAGUUGCUGGAAAACAGAUCGUUUUCACUUUUUUACGAUUAUUUUUCCUUCAGUUGAACCGAUAACACUUCCUGUAAGCUUUUAUUUUUGUUGUUCGUUCGUAAUAGUAUGGGUGUUUUAUUUUGAAGGUCUUCCGGUAGUUAUGUCGUAUAUUCAUUUCGGCGAUUUUACUUUCGCGGGCUACAAACAAAAGGACAGUGAUCAGAUUUUGCCCUGCAGUAAAGACCUUCAUUAUUUCAUAAUUAAGCGCCUAGCUGCGGCGGGAACAAGGUGAUGAUGGAGGGUCAUCACGACGCGCCUGCUGCUGCCACUGAUACAUCACAUGCUGUCCACGUGGAUUCAUCAAGCAGCACAGACUUGAUGCAAAGGUCAAGUUCAGUCAGAUUCACUGACAUUGAUGCAGAACUCUUGUUCUUCAUUACUGACAGACUGAUGCUGAUAUCCAGUUUAUUUGCCAUCAACCUGCCAGAGAGCGACAGGCUGAAGCACUGGUUGAUGAACAUGAGGAGAAAGAACUGGACUCCAUGUAAGACAUCAGCAGUACUCACUUUGAGAGGAUCAGUUCUUCACAGAUGAGAGGGCAGGUAGAGACAUUUUUAUGCUCUAAUUAGACAGCAAAGUUCCUAAAUGCACCAAAACUUAGUGGUGAAAGUGGCUGAAAUAUAAACUUAACAUGGGGAAACUUUUCAGUAAUAAUUUAUCUGAAUGUGUGGAGAGCAACAUUUAAUGAAAUCAUCAGUCAUCCUUUACUGUGUGACGUCUGUGAUCAUGAUGUCACCCUGUUCAUUUUUACCAACAUCAACACAGUUUCAUUACAGCUGACAACAUCUGGUAGUCGUUAUGAUUUCAAUGCUUCUGUUUAAUGUGAAUAAAUCAUUUUGUAUUUUAUCAUUUCUUUCUGUUCUAAAGUCAGAAAUGUUAAAGUAUCAGGAUAUUGUCGUGGUGAGUCGCUUUAAACUAAGAGACUGUGAAUAACACUUUGCAACAUGUUGAACCUUGGUGUGUUUUUCAGGACAUGAGGUUUCAUACCUGUGUUCUGAUCAUUACACCUGUGUUCUGAUCAUUACACCUGUGUUCUGAUCAUUACACCUGUGUUCUGAUCAUUACACCUGUGCUCUGAUCAUUACACCUGUGUUCUGAUCAUUACACCUGUGUUCUGAUCAUUACACCUGUGCUCUGAUCAUUACACCUGUGUUCUGAUCAUUACACCUGUGUUCUGAUCAUUACACCUGUGUUCUGAUCAUUACACCUGUGCUCUGAUCAUUACACCUGUGCUCUGAUCAUUACACCUGUGCUCUGAUCAUUACUCCUGUGCUCUGAUCAUUACACCUGUGUUCUGAAAGCUCAAAGGAAAAAUUCAAGCAAAAUAUCAUGAACAGCUGCUUUCAAUUGUUAUAAUUUGCUGCAGUUGAACCUUCAGUAAAAUAAUCUGAUAAAACAAUGAUAUCAAAUCAUCCUACACUCAGUCAGUCUAAUACAACAGUCCUGCAACAAACCCUCCUCCAUGAAGGUUUAAUGUUCAGUUUGUGUUGAAUCUGUUUCAUGAUUAUUGUGGAGGCUGCAGUUUGUGUUGCUGCUGAAGUGUUUAGUUAUUUUGUCCUCCCUGUUUAUAUCAAUGACAGUAGGUUAAUAACAGAAACUCUUCUCUGUAGAAUGUGACACGGUUCAACUCUAAAACAGUGUCAAUAGAAACUGAACAUUAGAUCCUUCAUGAAGGAGGAUUUACUGCAGCACUGUUGAGUUUCAGCUUGGUGUUCCUAA